rnacentral:rRNA from 1 species
UGCGUAGGCGGUCCCGCAAGUCCGCUGUGAAAGCCCCGGGCUUAACCUGGGAAUUGCAGUGGAAACUAUGGGACUUGAAUCCGGCAGAGGGGGGUGGAAUGCCAGGUGUAGCAGUGAAAUGCGUAGAGAUCUGGCGGAACACCGAUGGCGAAGGCAGCCCCCUGGGCCGAGAUUGACGCUCAGGCACGAAAGCGUGGGGAGCAAACAGGAUUAGAUACCCUGGUAGUCCACGCCCUAAACGAUGACAACUAGGUGUUGGGGAAGCGAUUCUCUAGUACCGCAGCUAACGCGUGAAGUUGUCCGCCUGGGGAGUACGGUCGCAAGAUUAAA